AGCCGCCACGCAGAGCACGAGAGCAGAGAGGCGCCCGUUAAAAGCCGCUGAUCGGGAAAGGAGCGGACGACUGGCUUUACGCAGUGCUGCGGUACGGUGAGUUUUGGUGCACAAGCUGAUCAGAAGUAGGAAGCGACCUUCACUUUUACACCCAGAACUAAUAUGUCGUCAAGUGUGGACACGGCGCUUUUCAAGAGGCCAGAAGUCCACGUGACCGUCAUCACCAAGUCCUUCCAUGACAACCCUGGAUACAAUGAGGACUGAUCAUUUAUGUUAGGUAGAAUGCUUAGACGAGCUGGGUGGUCUCGUGGCCUCUGA